rnacentral:sRNA from 1 species
UGUUCCAAGGUGUGCCCUGGUGUUUUGC